UGUUUUAAAAUUUUUUCGAGAGAUAGGAUCUCGCUUAGUUGCCCAGGCUGGUCUUGAACUCCUGGGCUCAAGCAAUCUUCCCACUUUGGACCCCCACAGUGCUGGGAUUACAGGGGUAAGCCACCACACCCAACCUCAAUCUUCUUGUGAUCUGUUAUGUUGACAACCAAGACAGCUACUUAGUGGUUGGUUGAUGGGUGGACAGUGUAUACAGCAUGGACACACUGGACAGAGGCAUGACUCAAUGUUCCAGUAUUUUCAGAUUUCAGGUGACUGCUGUAACUUGAAGCAAGAAAAGUGAAACUACAGAAAAGGGAGGACCACUGGACGGCUGCUUUCAUUCUACGCCCACUUUUUAGAGUGCAUUCCUACAAUAAGCACCCUAAUAAUGUAAACCAGGGGCCAAGGGAUGCACCUUCCACUCUACUUCCUUCC
rnacentral:lncRNA from 10 species